AUUGAACGCUAGCGGGAUGCCUUACACAUGCAAGUCGAACGGCAGCACGGACUUCGGUCUGGUGGCGAGUGGCGAACGGGUGAGUAAUGUAUCGGAACGUGCCCAGUAGCGGGGGAUAACUACUCGAAAGAGUAGCUAAUACCGCAUACGCCCUACGGGGGAAAGGGGGGGAUCGCAAGACCUCUCACUAUUGGAGCGGCCGAUAUCGGAUUAGCUAGUUGGUGGGGUAAAGGCCCACCAAGGCGACGAUCCGUAGCUGGUUUGAGAGGACGACCAGCCACACUGGGACUGAGACACGGCCCAGACUCCUACGGGAGGCAGCAGUGGGGAAUUUUGGACAAUGGGGGCAACCCUGAUCCAGCCAUCCCGCGUGUGCGAUGAAGGCCUUCGGGUUGUAAAGCACUUUUGGCAGGAAAGAAAUCGCAUGGGUUAAUACCCUGUGUGGAUGACGGUACCUGCAGAAUAAGCACCGGCUAACUACGUGCCAGCCGCCGCCGUAA
rnacentral:rRNA from 1 species